GUACUCACUUUGGUAGCACAUAUACUAAGAUUGGAACGACACAGAGAAGGUUAACCUGGCCCCUGGGCUAGGAU
rnacentral:snRNA from 1 species